rnacentral:rRNA from 1 species
GCAAUUUAUACUGUGAAACUGCGAAUGGCUCAUUAAAUCAGUUAUAAUUUAUUUGAUAAUACCUUACUACUUGGAUAACCGUGGUAAUUCUAGUGCUAAUACAUGCUUUAAACCCCGACUUCUGGAAGGGGCGUAUUUAUUAAAUAAAAAACCAAUCGCUUCGGCGUUUACUGGUGAAUCAUGAUAACUAUUCGAAUCGCAUAGCUUUGCUGGCGAUGGUUCAAUCAAAUUUCUGCCCUAUCACCUUUCGAUGGUAGUAUAGAGGACUACCAUGGGUACAACGGGUAACGGAGAAUUAGGGUUCGAUUCCGGAGAGGGAGCCUGAGAAACGGCUACCACAUCCAAGGAAGGCAGCAGGCGCGCAAAUUACCCAAUCCCGAUACGGGGAGGUAGUGACAAUAAAUAACAAUCCAGAGCUCUUCGAGUUUUGGAAUUGUAAUGAGGACAAUUUAAACCUCUUAACGAGAACCAAUUGGAGGGCAAGUCUGGUGCCAGCAGCCGCGGUAAUUCCAGCUCCAAUAGCGUAUAUUAAAGUUGUUGCAGYUAAAACGCUCGUAGUUGAACUUUGGGCCCGGUUGGGKGGYCUUUGCUUUGCAUUGCACUUUCUGACUGGGYCUUUCCUUCUGGCGAGCCAGUGUGCUAUUUAUUUAGUGCGCUGGGGAACCAGGACUUUUACUUUGAAAAAAUUAGKAGUGUUUAAAGCAGGCUUACGCUUGGAAUACAUUAKCAUGGRAAUAAUAAAAWAGGACUUUUGGG